rnacentral:tRNA from 1 species
UCCGCAGUAGCUCAGUGGUAGAGCUAUCGGCUGUCAACCGAACGGUAGUAGGUUAGACCUAUAACUGAGGAG